CUCCGGGGUCCCUGCAGAAGCUGCCUCUCAGGAGCUCCCUUUCCUUUCCCCUGCCUUCCAGCGAGCUGUGUGCGCGGCCCUGAGGCCCCCAGCCUUCCGCAGCUGCUGGCUCUCCUCCUGAGGUCACAUCCUCAGCUACUGAAGCAAUGCAUCUCCCCAAAGAGGCACCCAAAUGCUGGCUCCUUGGGAGUGUUUCUGAAGCUGGAUUUUCUGGCUGGACUCUGUAUUCCAUAAUGUUUGAUGGAUAUGGAUACUUACGGUGCAUUUCCCCUUGCACGCAUCACGGAGAGGUGAAUUACACUGAAGAGUUCUGACAUCCUUUUGAAGGCUUCCUGCAGGAAAGAUGACAUUUCAAACCUGUAUGUUACCUGAACCUUGAUCACAUCUUGUCUGCUAUUGAAA